CCCCACUAUGUCUGGCCAUAAACUAUAAUAUUAUCCUACCAAAUAUUCGCCAGAGAAUUACAAGCAACAUGCUUGAAACUCAAAGGACUUGGCGGUGUCCCACACUCCCCUAGAGGAGCCUGUCCUAUAAUCGAUAACCCGCGCUAAACCCUACCACCUAAGGCCAACCCAGCCUAUAUACCGCCGUCGUCAGCCCACCCUAUUGAGGGUCCAAAAGUGGGCAAAAUUGUCAAUACACAAAAACGUCAGGUCAAGGUGUAGCUAAUAAGGUGGCAGAGAUGGGCUACAUUUUCUAGCAUAGAAAAUCACGAAAAAUGCAAUGAAACAUGCAUUUGAAGGCGGAUUUAGUAGUAAAGAAAGACUAAAGAAUACUUCCUUUAACCAGACACUG
rnacentral:rRNA from 1 species